GCCUCAAAAUUAGAAAAACACCCCAAGCCAAAUCCUGCUCCAUCCAGACUGAAGAGAGAAAAGAGGGACGCUGGCCUGGAUCCUCUCUUGGUCCAUCCUUGCUGACCAGGGCAUAAUCCAGAGGGCAUAGAUUAUAAUGUUUUGUAGAUUAUGAAGACUAAUCAGAUGAAACAUGCUGCUAAAGGGGAAAGAAUGCCUCAUUCCAUUCUCUGAUCUUGUAUCCAUGUAAAAUAGACAGAGUAUUGCAUGUACUGAUUGCCCCUAUGUAUAACAAACAUGCACUUAUAAUUGCACUGGUUUACCUGUAAUUGAGUUACAAAAGAAUUUAAAAAAUGGGAAUUUAAGACAAAGAGAACUUCAAACUGAACUACGGAGAGCGUGUGCGCACACACACACACACAAACACACACACGAGUUUGGAGAUAAGGACUGAACUGAAUGGAACAUGUAGAAUACUUUACAUGUGUUUUCAAGAGAGAUUUAAAAGAGGAAGGCUAGAGGCUUGACAGACCAGAUCAAAGAGGGAGCUCCGGGCAUAUGAGAAAGAAGGCAUUACGAGAGGAAACUAAGGAAAUGUCCAGUGGUGUGGGUGAGGCAGAAUGGCUCCCUCCGAACUGGACUGUGAUGGACCACUACACUCCUGUGCUGGGCAGAGCCGAAUCCUCCACACCUCCGGCACUGGAAGUCCCGGGUUGGGACAGGAAGUAUAAAAGCAGAGCUCUGGGGCUCAGUUGGGGCUGGACCACCGGAGGGAGCAGAUGUCUCUUCCAGGGAGCGGCGAUCUUUGCAGGAUCCCAGACUAGCCCGUGAGUGACAGCAUGCCCUGCUUUUGGAGGAGAUAGACGAGUAUCCUGAGGAGCUGCCAGGACCGCCGUCAGACAAAUGCCCCAAAGAGCUCUGGGGACUGUCAGCAGCUGAGUACCCCAAGGAGACAGAGAACCAUCAGAUUACGGGGCCCUAUAUCCAGAUUGUGGUAAGAAGUAGCCCAGGGGAAUGAGACUUUAGUCUGGUUCUGCUGCUGGAGAGUGAAUCAGCAUGUUUUGGGAGUAUCACUGCAGACCUAUCCACCACUAUUAGGGCCCUGGGCUGGGACUCAGUGGAAUAGGGUGGGCCUAUGUCUCCCUGCCCCCUGCCACUGACCCCACCCCGGGGUGGCAGCCAAACCCCUCUUUUUGGCUGGGCUGUGUUAUCGGCUCACUAUCAGCCAGGUGGUCAUGGGCUAAAGACUGUUUGUGCUCUGUCCAGCCCAGAGGGCCAGAACUCCCCUAUACACUGUUAAUUACUGUUUGCCCCAGUCAGGUGGCUGUGGGCUAAAGACUGCUCAUGGCUCUGCCCCACCCAGAGGGCCAGAGUUCCUCCUCCCUAGACUGUUGCUGUCUGCCCCAGCCAGGCGGCUUCAGGCUAAAGACUGUUUGUGGCUUGGCCCCACCCAGAGGGCUGGAGUUUCCCCUAUAGACUGUUACCUGCUGUCUGCCUGUAGUGAGGCAGAGUGGCCUCCCUCCCCACUCAAGAGCGAGGACUACAAUUCUCUUUAAAGCUACUUUUUUAUCUUUGAAAAUAAUUUCCUUUUCCCUCCUGCAUUAUUGAACACUCCAGAGUCUAACAAGCAGCUCCAGCCACCUGAGCCCUUAUUACCUUUUGUGCAAAUAAUUGUUGAUAAUAUUUUCGUUAGAUUGGACAUAGCUAUAGUUUGGGCCUGGAUUCAGGUUUAGAUCAUGGGCCACAUUUAUGUACAUAGGGAUGAGGAGACUUUGAGCGACAGGGAGAAGCAAAUGAGGAGUGAGGGUUGGGGACAGCAUGGCAAUAUGGGGUAAGGGAAGGAUGAAUGAUGAGGUAAGAGGUUUUCAUAGCAGAAGACAUCUUAUUAGAGAGAUUGCCUCAUGGACCACUCCUCUCCCAUUCACAGUAAUAAAAAAUAAUAAUGCCUACCUAUCUCUUAUCUAGCAUUUGUCAUCAGUAGAUCUCAAAACACUUCACAAAGGAGGUCAGUACCAUAAAGUAAGUGAAAUAACUUAAAGCUUGUGAGGUAAGGAGAUAAAUUUGAGUCUAGAUUGAGGCAGAAUUGAGAGAAGCAUAAGGUUGACAAUUUUAUGAACUAAUGCUAUUCUGUGUUAUAAAACAUCCCAUCUACAGAGUUUCCUCUGCUCUACUCUUUGUUACCAGAUGCAUUAGGUAGAUUUUUCACCUUCCUCUAAAGGAAGCAGUGUUGGUCAUUGCCAGAGGCUGUGUCUCCUGCCCUUUCAGAGAGGGUUCUCCUAAUUGACUUUAUUAUGUCACUCAUGUUUUUGUGUCUGGUAACGCUUAUGAAGAGUUGUGAUGGGAGUUGUGAAGAGAGUUAAAAAUUAACCAUUUACUGUAAUGAGGUUUUGUCUUGUCAAUAUAGUGCUAUAAAGUUUCAGUGUUAGGAACGAGACUACACAGCGCCAUUGCUCUACCACGCUAAUAAAUAAAAUGAC